UAUAAUUGAAAUGGGAGCUAAUUUGCUGAGAGUAGACAUAAGUCUUGACCAUGAAACCUGAUUUGGAUAAUGCCAACGUAGGAAUUUUAUGAGCACCUUCU
rnacentral:ncRNA from 2 species